rnacentral:rRNA from 1 species
UACCCCUGUAGUCUUAGCUGUUAACGAUGGAGACUAGGCGUUGGCUUGUAUCGACCCGAGCCGUGCCGAAGCCUACGCGUUAAGUCUCCCGCCUGGGGAGUACGCGCGCAAGUGUGAAACUCAAAGGAAUUGACGGGGGCCACGCACAAACGCUGGAGUAUGUGGUAUAAUUCGAUGCAACGCGAAGAACCUGACCAAGGCCUGACAUCCCGCGAAUCCCCGGUGAAAGCCGGGAGAGCCUUCGGGAGCGCGGAGACAGGUGGUGCAUGGCAGUGGUCAGCUCGAGUCGUAGAGAUGAUGGGACAAGUCCACGCAACGAGCGCAACCAAGUGCCUUAGUUGCCAGCAGUCAGUUGGGCACUCUAGGGAGACUGCCGGUGACAAACCGGAGGAAGGUGGGGAUGACGUAAAGUCAUCAUGCCCAGACGUUUGUGGGGUAUACAAGUACUACAAUGGUUGGUACACCGGGCAGAGAAGCGGCAAGAUCCGAGCGAAUCCCAGCAAACACAGCAUCAGUUCAGAUAUCAGACUGCAACUCGCCUGCG